CCUACGGGUGACAGCAGUAGGGAAUCUUCCACAAUGGGCGAAAGCCUGAUGGAGCAACGCCGCGUGGGUGAAGAAGGUCUUCGGAUCGUAAAACCCUGUUGUUAGAGAAGAAAGUGCGUGAGAGUAACUGUUCACGUUUCGACGGUAUCUAACCAGAAGGCCACGGCUAACUACGUGCCAGCAGCCGCGGUAAUACGUAGGUGGCAAGAGUUAUCCGGAGUUAUUGGGCGUAAAGGGAACGCAGGCGGUCUUUUAAGUCUGAGGUGAAAGCCUUCGGCUUAACCGGAGUAGUGCAUUGGAAACUGGGAGACUGGAGGGCAGAGGAGGAGAGUGGAACGCCAUGUGUAGCGGUGAAAUGCGUAGAGAUAUGGAAGAACACCAGUGGCGAAAGCGGCUCUCUGGUCUGUAACUGACGCUGAGGUUCCUUGACCCCGGUAGUC
rnacentral:rRNA from 1 species